AGAGUUUGAUUCUGGCUCAGGAUGAACGCUGGCGGCGUGCUUAACACAUGCAAGUCGAACGGAGUUUAGAGAGCUUGCUCUUAAACUUAGUGGCGGACGGGUGAGUAACGCGUGGGUAACCUGCCUUUCACUGGGGGAUAACAGUUAGAAAUGACUGCUAAUACCGCAUAAGCGCACAGGUUCGCAUGAACUAGUGUGAAAAACUCCGGUGGUGAAAGAUGGACCCGCGUCUGAUUAGCUAGUUGGUGAGGUAACGGCCCACCAAGGCGACGAUCAGUAGCCGGCCUGAGAGGGUGAACGGCCACAUUGGGACUGAGACACGGCCCAAACUCCUACGGGAGGCAGCAGUGGGGAAUAUUGCACAAUGGGGGAAACCCUGAUGCAGCGACGCCGCGUGAGUGAAGAAGUAUUUCGGUAUGUAAAGCUCUAUCAGCAGGGAAGAAAAUGACGGUACCUGACUAAGAAGCCCCGGCUAACUACGUGCCAGCCGCGGC
rnacentral:rRNA from 1 species